rnacentral:piRNA from 1 species
UCCCAGACAUGCUUCGGAAGGAUGGC